CCUACGGGUGGCUGCAGUCGAGAAUCAUUCACAAUGGGGGAAACCCUGAUGGUGCGACGCCGCGUGGGGGAAUGAAGGUCUUCGGAUUGUAAACCCCUGUCAUGUGGGAGCAAAUUAAAAAGAUAGUACCCCAAGAGUAAGAGACGGCUAACUCUGUACCAGCAGCCCCGGUAAUACAGAGGUCUCAAGCGUUGUUCGGAAGCACUGGGCGUAAAGCGUGCGUAUGCUGUUUCGUAAGUCGUGUGUGAAAGGCGCGGGCUCAACCCGCGGGCGGCACAUGAUACUGCGGGACUAGAGUAAGGGAGGGGGAUGCGGAAUUCUCGGUGUAGCAGUGAAAUGCGUAGAUAUCGAGAGGAACACUCGUGGCGAAGGCGGGUUACUGGACAUUAACUGACGCUGAGGCACGAAGGCCAGGGGAGCGAAAGGGAUUAGAUACCCGAGUAGUC
rnacentral:rRNA from 1 species